rnacentral:rRNA from 1 species
CCCGAAAGACCUGUCUCAGUUCGGAUUGGAGUCUGCAACCCGACUCCAUGAAGCUGGAUUCGCUAGUAAUCGCGCAUCAGCCACGGCGCGGUGAAUACGUUCCCGGGCCUUGUACACACCGCCCGUCAAGCCAUGGAAGCCGGGGGUGCCUGAAGUGCGCUGCCGCAAGGAGCGCCCUAGGGUAAAACCGGUGACUGGGGCUAAGUCGUAACAAGGUAUC